rnacentral:lncRNA from 1 species
UAUUAUUCAGUUUUGUGCGGUGCUUGGAAAGUACUUCGUCAAUUUCGAACUUCGAUGAUUUUUGACUGCCUUUGCUCAGAAGAGCUGUUGGAAAGGUAAGAAAAACAAAACAUUUUAGUAAAACCGUGGAUGAUUAUUAUUAAUGGGGCUUUUGGGGCUACGUCCUUAUACAAUAGAGGAUUAAGUUCGAUUGUUUUUUUCAAGGUCGUAAUACCGCAGUUCAGAAGAAAACCAACAGACCGUCCCAACCGAGAAGAUGCCUCCUCUUGAAGCGGAUAUACCAGUGGUACCCGUGGAAAAACAAGAUAUGGAAAGUAUUAAGCGUCGUAUAAUAGAGGAGAUUAAAGACCUGUGCUUAGUGAUGAGGAAAGUUAUGUCAGAGCACUUGGAAGGCUUCAGGGAGUUCGAGUUAACAAAAAUGUGUAAGCCGGAUUGGCCACCAAGUGAGACAACCAAAGUAAAUGCCAAACAAGAGGAUGUAGAGAAAAGGGGAGAUGAAAUCAAGACAAGAGGAGAAAAAGAGAAUUAGAAGGGGGAUCCAGGAGAAACAGCCUAUGCAUAAUAGAAAUACCUGAAACAGGACAGAGCAAAUGAAGCUGAAAUAAUAAAACUAACUAACUAACUGAGGAAACUUUUCCAGAGUUGAAGGUCUGCAAAUGGAAAAGGCUCACAGGGUACUUUUAAAAAUUUAAUGAAAAGGAAGCAACGCCUAGACAUAUUCUGGUGACUUUUUAAAAUUUCGAGGAUAAAGAAAAACUUACAGAUAUCCAGACAAAGAAAGCAGGUUACCGAGAGAGCUGCAAAACUCAGGCUGCCCUUAAGGUUUUUCUUGUGCAGUUCUAAAUGGCGGAAGACAAUGGAACGGUAUCAACAAAGUUUUGUGGGUAAAUCAUUUUGAACCUGGAAUUAUAUACCCUGCCAAGUUAUUUAUUUAUUUUUUUUUCUGUUUGCAGGCAAUUGGAAGAUAGAUAUGCAGAGGUUAAGAAAAUAUAUAUCAACUAAGAACCUGCUCUGAAAAUCUUGCUGAUUUACUGCAGCCGGUAGAGAAUGCGAAUUAAAAUAAGUAGGGAGGCAAUUGUAUGAAAGAAUUAAUGGUAAGCAUUAAAACUAGUUAAAGAGCAUUGCAUUUCCUUUGUUACAUGUAAGGUAAUAAAGGUAAAUAUAAAAAUAGAUUUGUAAGCAGCAUGUAAAAUUUUUAACUUUAUAGUUUUAAGCUGCCAAAAGGCAAGCCAAAUACUCAAAUGUAUUGGUCAAAUAUUGUUUUAUUUUUGCCAUGUAGUAUUGUAGCUAAAAACACAUGUUGUUAAGAAAGAAAAGGGCUUUGUCACUGUGGAAAGGACAUGUACAAUAAAAU